GAACGUCUCCCAGAGUAAGAGCCAGACGGACCAAUCGAAGCCCGGCGGGCCCCAGACGUCCAAGCCGGUGGGCGUGGCAAAGGGAUGAGGGUGGGACGAUGCGGUGUUGCCAUGACGACGGCUUCCGGGAGGGCAGGUUGAGGUGACUUCCGGCCGGAAGGCGAGACUCCGCGGGAAAAGCGCCUCUGGUUGGUAGACCGAUGCAAACCUGACAAAAGUGAUUCAUACGUUUCCAGCCCAUGACACAGAUCUUUGCAACGUGCCCUGCUGUCCAACACACUCUAAAACUAAAGCUACUGAAAUAAGAAUUCAUCAUUUUGAAGAUACAAUUACUACUUCACUUUAACAAACAGGUAAUUUGUGCUGAGUCUGGCUCCUCUAUUUUUGUCUUCAUCGUUUAAGUUACUCAAUUGUGCUAUCUCUUCAGAGAAUUUCCCUAAUAAUUUUUUCCUAACCUCAGAUUAUUGUGCCUUAUAUUUCAUAAUUUUAUUUAACUAACCAAAUAUUAAAAU
rnacentral:lncRNA from 1 species